rnacentral:tRNA from 1 species
GGAUCCUUAUUUCAGUUGGUUAGAAAUCUCGGCUCAUAACCGAGCAGUCCUGGGUUCGAGUCCCAGAGGAUCCA